CGACCCCAGGUGAGGCGGGACUACCCGAUGAGUUUAAGCAUAUAAAUCAGCGGAGGAGAAGAAACUUACAAGGAUUCCCUUAGUAACGUCGAGCGAACAGGGAACAACCCAACUUGAGAAUCGGGCUAUUGUGCCGUCCGAAUUGUAGUCUGGAGAGGCGUCCUCAGCGACGGACCGGGCCCAAGUCCCCUGGAAAGGGG
rnacentral:ncRNA from 1 species